CAGUCCCUUGAACUUUUAAUUCUCAAUCAUAUAUCUUUUAUAAUUUUAUGCGUUACUUAUCUUUACAAGCCUAAUUAACAUAUUUUAUACAAUUCAUAUUACUCCGCAAAUUCAUAAUUAACUUAAAUUUUAUACUGAAAAAACCAUGAAGUGACUUAAAUCAUCAAAUCGAAAGGUAGCAUACUGAAAAUCAAAAUUUUGAUAAGUUAGGUAUUCGAAUGAAAGUAGGAUAUAGUUCACGUAAGUUUUAUAAAUUUUUGUCUUUAUUCUGUUUUCAGGAAAAUAAUUUAAAAGUUGAAUAUGAUACUUCAUGUUUUAAACAUUUUUUCAAACUUCUUAUAUAAAUUUCUUGAUCGACCAAAUGAAUAAGAUGUUGGGAACCGGAUGAAUCGUCCGUCAUGCGCUACUAAUAAAGAUACACGAAAAGAAUAGAAAAAAUCGAACGAACGGUAAAAAAAAUAAAUGCAGAAAGAAGAAACCAAAAUUUACGUGGUUCGAUAAUUACCUACGUCCACGGAAAAAGCGAGAGAGAUAUAUUCCACUAUAUGAAGAAAUAAAAAUACAAGCUUACACCUUAUGUCUUCUCCGGAUAAAAAUCAAGAACCUUAUGGUGAAUCUUACCUUUCUCUUGUUCCAACGAAAACUUCAAGAAAAUACCGAAAAAGCUUUUCGUAAAACCGAGAAAGCUUUUCGUAAAACCAAAAAAACCAAAUUAGAAAAGUAUAAGAAACUCUGACAAAAAAUUCUUUAUGCCGUUGCUUCGAAGAAUCCGAACUGCUCAGGCAAUUUAGUCGAGAAAUAUCGCUCUUGCUGUCGACUCCGAUCCGUCGCACGCGUGCUACCUCCCUUCUCUUGCUACGGCACGGCUUCAAGAGAGACCGGCCACCUUAAUUAAUUAGCGUUAGGCUUCAAGAGAGACCGGCCACCUUAAUUAAUUAGCGCUAGGUUUCGGGAGAGACCCGCGUCAACGUAUGCUAGUUAAUUAAGCUUGAUGCACCUUCCAAGAGCCGUACGGUUCACAAAGCCGGAGUGCUAAUUAAUUUGGCCUCUGCUCUCUUCCUGCCGUCGCAUGCAAAGGCGCGGCACUUCUUAUGCCGUAUGGAUAGGCCACCUUAAUUAAUUAGCCUCUCUCCUUCCUUGCAGCCGGCCUCAAGAGAAAAAACCGGCCACCUUUUAAUUAAUUAACCUCUCUAAUUAAAAAAGGCAUAAUUUUAACAUUCUCUAUCUCGACUUCUUUUUUACUUCAUUAUUCUUCUCAUCUUAUCGCCCCCACUUCCUGAAGCAUUUCAGUUACUAGCAGUUAUGCAAAUUAGCCAAGUUUAGACAGUGUCUAAACUUAUCCGUUGUUACCGACUUUGUAUGUUAGCUACAUUAUCCUUCGUGGAUAUCUUUAUAAACUGAAUUUUUCCAUCAUCCUUAUUAGUGAGCUUCCGUAAUUUGUGAUACUUGAUUUCUUUGUGCUUUGUGCUCCCAUGGUAAACUGGAUUCCUGGCCUAAUUAACAUAUUUUAUACAAUUCAUAUUACUCCGCAAAUUCAUAAUUAACUUAAAUUUUCAAUUCUCUCAAUCAAAUACCUUUUAUAAUUUCAUGCAUUACUUAUCUCUACAAGCCUAAUUAACAUAUUUUAUACAAUUCAUAUUACUCCGCAAAUUCAUAAUUAACUUAAAUUUUAUACUUAAAAAACCAUAAAGUGACUUAAAUCACCAAAUCGAAAGGUCGCAUACUGAAAAUCAAAAUUUUGAUAAGUUAGGUAUUCUAUUGAAAAUGGGAUAUAUAUAGUUCAAGUAAGUUUUGUAAAUUUUUAUUUUUAUUUUGUUUUCAGGAAAAUAAAUUAAAAGUUGAAUAUGAUACUCCAUGCUUUAAACAUUUUUUUCACACUUCUUUUAUAAACUUCU
rnacentral:lncRNA from 1 species